AUGGAGCAGGCGCCUGCAAUUCUGGGGGAGCGCCGGAAGACGGGGUUCGCACUCACAGCGCCCCCCUCCCCGGCGAGAGCGCAGCCAUCCGGUCCGGGCCCAGGCGGAGCGGCGCGCGGAACAGGGCAGUUCGCAGGAAGUGCUGUAGGGAGGAAGGAAAAAAAAAAAGAAAAAACAAUUCGAAAGAGCCUGAAAAGUUCAAUUAGAACAGCAGCCACAUUUCAACAUUUCCCAGAUUUUGCAAUAUUAAACUGGGAGGAUCUGUGCCAAAUUUGAAGGCAAGAAUUCUUACUGCCAAAUUACAAAUUUCUCGAAAUGAGGGGUGUUCAACCAAAUUGCAGCCAGACCCCAUAAACAGGCACUAACAGCACUGCUGUAAUUACACCUUAUUAUCUCCCUCACAGCCUCAUUUGAUUCACUGCCGGAUAAAAUCCUCAUCCCGGGUGUCUCUUAACUGGUCUGUUUCUGGGGCUGAACCAUCACACACCUCCCAUGCCUCAAUUCGUCCAAAGAACUGUAUAAUCCAUUGCCUUCAAUUUCAUCUUCCAGACGAUCCCUUCCUAAAAUGCAGCCUCUUUUCACCCCAAGCUUCCCCGGGACUGAAAAAUAAAGGUGAAAACAAACUUAGCAGAAUUGCAAGAAAAAAAUUAUCUUUGAAAAAACAGAUUUAGUUCAAGAAACUAAAUUUAUUAUUUAAUGUGAACCCCUUAAGGGGAUUUAGCAUAGUGGGCUUGAAUGCAGUCGAACUAGCUUAAUCACUUUCUUUGUUCCAGCUCUUUGCACUUAUUUAAUGUACUUUAAGGAGACUUGACACAACCUAAACUGACUUCUUCCCUAUUAGUGUAGUCUACACGUGAAAUAUACAGUAUAGCCAAAGAUAAAUUUCUGUAGAACCCUUGACAUUUUUGUGAAUUCUGUAGUAAACUGCUAUGUGACCAAGUAUUAAAAAGCGAGAGUUACGGGCGGACAGGGUGGAAAAGGAGAGGAGAUCAUGUUUUCAUUUUUUGAAAUCUAGAGAUUUUAAAAGCAAAAAAAGUUUGGCCAUGUUGACCACUUUUUCCCCCCUUUGGUAAAAUAUUCUGGAAGCCACAUUUACUCAUUUUUGUCUGAAAGGUUUUUUUGUUUUCUCAGUAGGGAAGGAAGAGGUUAUAUUGGGUCUCAUCUCCGGAUAGAUUUUCAUUCUUCUAUCCUCUCCCUGUUAACAAUCC
rnacentral:lncRNA from 1 species